AGGUCCCGAAGGUUCCACAGCUUCGUGUGGGUUGUAGCCCCCCAUUCUGCACAUAUGGAGGUGGGGUGGCAGGUCAGGGCUCUGCAGCAGACCUUCGGGCUUCCCUCAAAUCCAGCUAAGGCCUGCGCUGGAAGCAGAAACUGAGUUCUCCUGGCCUGCAGCGAGGAGACCUGCGUCCUGCCCCCACCCCAGGAAAUUUGCAGUGACUUUGGAGCCCAGACUGAGGAAGCAGAGGUGGCGAAAGGAGAGACAAUACCGGCCCGAAGUACAAUUAAGGGGCCAGAGCUCGUCUCUCCCCCGCCCUCCCUGCCCGACUGCAAGCUGUCUGGCCUCAAACCUCAGGGCGACACGCGAACCUGGAGCCGGAAACUCAGCCCGUGGCGGAGGCAGCCAGAGGACUCCGCAUCCAGAAAACAGGAGGAAAGCUCCCUUCCAACUUGGGGGCGCCUUAACCAACCCCGCUGAGUUGCAGAGAAUCCAAUGAAUGAAACUGCACAUUC